AAAGCUUUAGCUUAAUUAAAGUAUCUGUUUUGCAUGCAGAAGAUGUGAGUUAAAAGCUCGCAAGUUUUA
rnacentral:tRNA from 1 species